GCUGUGAUGGCCGAGUGGUUAAGGCGUUGGACUUGAAAUCCAAUGGGUGUUACACGCGCAGGUUCAAAUCUUGCUCACAGCG